rnacentral:sRNA from 1 species
CCUUACGCAUAAUCCCUGAUACUUGGGAGGUUGAGGCUGGUGGACUGAUUAAGCUCAGGAGUUCUGAGUUUACAGUAGGGCUAAAGAUAAAAGGGUGUCCACAUUAAGUCCAGCACUAAUGUGGUGAGACCCCUUUCAGGAUACCAGGCUGCCUAAGGAGGGGCUAACUGACCCAGCUCAGAAAUGGAACAGGUCAAAGCUUCUGUACCUAUAGAUAGUAGGAUUGGGCCUGUGAAGAGCCACUGCACUUCUGGCCUGGGUAUGAUAAGGAGACCCAGG